rnacentral:rRNA from 1 species
UUUUACAAUGGAGAGUUUGAUCCUGGCUCAGGAUGAACGCUAGCUACAGGCUUAACACAUGCAAGUCGAGGGGAAACGACAUCGAAAGCUUGCUUUUGGUGGGCGUCGACCGGCGCACGGGUGAGUAACGCGUAUCCAACCUGCCC